rnacentral:lncRNA from 1 species
CAAACUCGCCCUUACGCUAGUCUGAAAAAUACGAAACUUGCCUGGAAUGACCUACAAGUGACCCUGAUCAUGAAUCAAUUUAAAAAUAAACUAACUAAGGCCGAAAAGGUCGGAAAUAAAAUUCUCCAAAUUUGAAAGGCUAAACUGAUUCUAAGUCUUGAUACUUAGCUAAAAUUUUCUAAGUCUAGGACCCCAUAGUACGCUUUAAAGGACUGAGUCAAGCUUAGAAUUUUACGGGAGCUUACAUAAAGCGUCAACCAUUCUAGGAGCCAUAGCAACGGUAGGAUAAGCACCUAUAGCCUGAACGGCCAGUACAGUAGUCCUAGUUCGAGCCAGUCUACUCAGAAUAGCCAUCACUUGCCGAAUUACCUCUACAGACAUGGGGAUAAGACUGCACCUCCAACUAGUGCCUUCGCUUCCUGCUCCAUCUCUGCUCCUCUGCUGCUACCAUUUCCUCCAUAUGAUCUUGAGGUGGGGGAGGUGAUACUGACCUUUCACGAGCUUGGCCAGCAGCUGCUUGAGCUCCACAGCUGCGGGUGCAGCUCUUUCCCNNNNNNNNNNNNNNNNNNNNNNNNNNNNNNNNNNNNCCCUUUCUCUCAUACCCUUCCUCAUCCCUUUGCCCUCAGUGUUGGCUCCAAAGCUGGAGCUGCCAGUGCAGAGGGCGCUGCUCGUAUUCCGUUCGACCUAGUAGUCACCAUCUGCAAACAAAAGAAUAAAACUAAAAAAAACUUUAAAUAAGUUAUUUGGAAAAUCAUGGAGAGACGGUGUUGGGCUGGUGUGGCGGGUUGGUUUCUGCAAAAGAUGAAGUCUUCGGUGUGUUGGAUAAGACAACCG